ensembl:lncRNA
AGGAUGCUGAGUUUUGAUUCAACAGGAACACCAUGUUCCCAGAUCUUUUCCUUCUUAAUCAUCAGUCUAAACUAAACACAUGGCUAGAGCAGUGGGAUCCCUACAGACUCCAUAUGUGCUUGGAUUCCAAGGAGAAAUCUGGCAUAAAUGAGGAGAACAAGGCAUGAGUGCAUGUGUUGGUCCUAUGAAGAUCAUACCCAACCUUAAGCCAAGAAGGUUAGACUAGUUUUAGGGUAGGGCUAAGCUGAGGAGUGAGGGAUGAAACACAGAGCUCCUUGAAAAUGCUCACUUGCUGGUUAUGGAGAAGGAAGGCAACUGAAAGAAAGGAAGAUAAGCUCCCAUCUCUUCCUUAUACUUGGAAGGUGGGGCACAGAAGAGCAAACUGAAGAACCACUGCUUUGAUCAGAGAAAGAAAACCACAUGGAAGCCCAAGCCUCACACGACAUCUGCCCUCCUCUCCAGCUGGGCAAACUCCCUUUGUGUUACAAGAAAAGCCAGUUAAAAAGUGUCUUCAAAGUUGAGCAAGAACUGACAAAACACACUGAGAGAAUAUGGGCAGAGAUGGCUGAUGACUGACUGUUUCUCUCUGUGGCAUUUAUUUAAACAGAGGACAAAUACAAUUUUUGCAGAAGCAAUGCAGAUACUGAUCUCACAGCUCCAGCAAUAUGACCCAGCAUCGUACUGACCUUGAAGGAAAGAGAUCUGUCCUGAAGAAUUUUGGUCAAAGGAGUUUAUGGUUACGAAUUGCAUUUCAGCAAAACCAUUAUUCAUUACAAUUUCUUGUUUUUAACUAAAUCUGCACAAAUAAUAUUAAAAAAAAAAAAAUCCACAUCCAAAGCUGCCAUUAAACUCCUGAGAAUUCUGCUCUUCCAUGAUUGCAACUGAAGUCUGCUCAUACUGCCAGAAAGGAAGAGUUACUGAAUUUCCAUGCUGAGUUUGCUGCUGCCAACAUGUUUGGUCAUGUAAACAAGUUCACUGAAAAGUCGCUCAUGCUAAAAAGAAAAACAGAUUCACAACGAGGGAUCUGCAGGCCAAAAAUGCUGGGUUUGGUCAGAUGGCCCAAAAAAUAGUAAAAACCAAAAAAUCCUCUCUGAGAGUCAUUCACUGGAGAUAUGCACUGUUCCUCUUUCUUCUGUCUGUGUAGAUAUUCCAGGAGAAUCAUCUGACCACCUGAGAGACUGACAGCUCCAUCCUCACAAGAGGAGGUUGCAAUGACACUCUUGCUUUUCUUUUUAAUUUCUGCUAAUUAACUCUAUGAUGCUUAUGUGAAGCAAGUCAGUAAUACCGAAGAAUGGUUUUAGAGAGAUUUAGUUAUUGUCUCUUCUGAGAUUCCCAGUUUCCAGGCUGUACCUAUCUUGCUUUAGACUGUGAAGGAUGUGCAGCAGGGAAUAUCUGUAUUCAGACUUUCCUGAAGCAUAACUUUCUUUUACUAAAGAAACACUGAAAGAACACAGUUCACAUUAGGCCUUUUCCCAAAUUCAGAGGAUCCCAACUUUUUUGGUGUAUAAACCAAGAGGAAGGUUUGGGGGGGGGAGGGAUAGACAGGAUAUUGUUUAAGAUGUGCAGAAUCUAAGCUUUCAUUUUAAAAAAAAAGGAGUUUGUAUAUAUAUAUAUGUGUGUCUGGUUUUUAGGAACCUCUUCCCUGUGUCCUGUUGGAGCUUAGGAAUUAGCCCAUAGUUACCAACUUCUAAAAUAUACUGUGAGAGGGAUAUGUGACCAUAUGUGGAUAUCAUAGGGAUAUCCACCUAUGCCAUGUGAGAGUUGAUAAGUUGUUAGUCACAGAAAAAAAGACCAGAACUCCCCCUUUCCUACAGAAGUAUUAAUAUCUUCUUUUUUAUAUCACUUAAAUUCAUUCUGUUCUUAAAAGCUUUAUUAUUUUUUAUUCUCUAGAGCACUUCAAUCACCUAGUGUUUAGUUACUUCAUAAUAUUUUAUUAUUUGAAGAUUUUGUACACAAACCAUUGAUUUGUCCCUCAACCGUAAUCUUAUGUGGUUUUAUUUUCAGCACUGUUCUGCGUAUUCUUCGCUUAUCCUUGAAACCUACAAUUUAGGUUUUGCACAUAAAUAAUGGAAAGGAUUGUGUUGGGCACUUGUGAGUGACUGGUACCUCAAAAUUUACACAGUCAGUGCCAUUUACUGACGAUAUUUAUUUAACCAAAACUGAUAGCUUUUGGUGUUCUGGUAAUAAACUCCGUGGUUCAGUUCCCUGUUGAGCUGCC